UACGGGGGGGGCAAGCGUUGUUCGGAAUUACUGGGCGUAAAGGGCUCGUAGGCGGCCAACUAAGUCAGACGUGAAAUCCCUCGGCUUAACCGGGGAACUGCGUCUGAUACUGGAUGGCUUGAGGAUGGGAGAGGGAUGUAGAAUUCCAGGUGUAGCGGUGAAAUGCGUAGAUAUCUGGAGGAAUACCGGUGGCGAAGGCGGCAUCCUGGACCAUUACUGACGCUGAGGCGCGAAAGCUAGGGGAGCAAACGGG
rnacentral:rRNA from 1 species